UUCCAUAGCUCAAUGGUUAGAGCACUCGCCUAUCAAGCGAGAGACCUGGGUUCAAUUCUCAGCAGAGCGAAA